CAGUAGCCGCGGUAAUACGUAGGGUGCAAGCGUUAAUCGGAAUUACUGGGCGUAAAGCGUGCGCAGGCGGUUAUAUAAGACAGAUGUGAAAUCCCCGGGCUCAACCUGGGAACUGCAUUUGUGACUGUAUAGCUAGAGUACGGCAGAGGGGGAUGGAAUUCCGCGUGGAGCGGUGAAAUGCGUUGAUAUCGGAAAGAACACCAACGGCGAAAGCACUCUGCUGGGCCGACACUGACACUGAGAGACGAAAGCUAGGGGAGCAAAUGGGAUUAGAUACCCCAGUAGUCCCUGUCUCUUAUAA
rnacentral:rRNA from 1 species